rnacentral:lncRNA from 10 species
GAUGACAAGGCAGAUUCAGAAGAGGAAGAGGCAGACUAGUGUAAAAAACUAACUUCAGAUUCUGAAUGUGAGGAACAGCAACUGGAGGAAAUUAAAGAAAACAAAGGGAAACUGAAAAAGCUCACCAGACUGUACAAGAAGUGUGUGUCAGCAUCUGCUUCUGAUGAGGAUUUCAGGAAGCUUAAAAUCAUGGUGGAAGGAAUGAGCGGCCGACUCUGGAGCCCAAGCUGUUGCUUCCCAUCUGGUGGUGAGGCCUCCACUGUCUGGUGAGUGCAAUGUCCGAUGCUAGAGCCCAGGCUGUUGCUUCCCACUCUGGUAGUGAAUCCUCCAUAGUCUGGGACCAUUGCAGUUUAGAGACGUGGCCAUAGAAUUCUCUCUGGAGGAGUGGCAUUGCCUGGACACUGCACAGCGGAAUUUAUAUAGGGAUGUGAAGUUUCAGAACUACAGAAACUUGGUCUUCCUUUGUGAAUUUUGAUAGUCAUGAUGGGCUUAUCGGUAGGAUUUCUGGUAGCAAGCACGGGCACCAGGACCUCCAAACUUUUUGGACUUGCAGCG